GAUGAACGCUAGCGGCAGGCUUAAUACAUGCAAGUCGAGGGGGAUCAGCUGGGUAGCAAUACUCGGCUGUGAGACCGGCAAACGGGUGCGGAACACGUACGCAACCUUCCCAAAACUGGUGAAUAGCCCUCCGAAAGGAGGAUUAAUACACCGUAACAUAAUGAGAUGGCAUCAUUUUAUUAUUAUAGCUCCGGCGGUUUUGGAUGGGCGUGCGCCUGAUUAGGUAGUUGGCGGGGUAACGGCCCACCAAGCCUGCGAUCAGUAACUGGUGGGAGAGCACGACCAGUCACACGGGCACUGAGACACGGGCCCGACUCCCACGGGAGGCAGCAGUAAGGAGUAUUGGUCAAUGGACGAAAGUCUGAACCAGCCAUGCCGCGUGAAGGAUGACGGCCCUCUGGGUUGUAAACUUCUUUUAUCUGGGACGAAAAAAGAUCAUUCUUGAUCACUUGACGGUACCAGAGGAAUAAGCACCGGCUAACUCCGUGCCAGCCGCCGCUGUAACAC
rnacentral:rRNA from 1 species